rnacentral:lncRNA from 1 species
ACAUCAGUAAAAGAUACCAUCUGCAAGGCUACUUUAUUCCCCAACCUUCCAAAGAAUGAGAACAGUCUGAGUAAACUAGGGCAUGAUCAAAGAUACAUGUCUUCAAUGUAAACCAAACAAAACGUAGGUGAUUCUCUGUAAGAAGACAUGGCAUCAGGGAAAUUUCAGAUGGCAUACAAGACCUUAGUGAGGAUAUCCUGAGAAAUGUGAAGAAAGGGGUUGCUGAUUCACAAAGCAUACAGUACAGAUGGGCAGAGAAUACUAGGUACAGCCUCUGAUAAAAACCAGCAAGACAACCAAAUUUUCAACCAUUUGAGCAGCCAUCUGGGCUGGCAAGAGGGUGUACAGGUCCAUGGAAAACAUCCUGAGACACUCUUGUUGCAUCACACCAUUCUGUCAAAAAACUGGUGUUUACUCUGUAAACAAUGUAAUAAAAAUGAA